rnacentral:rRNA from 1 species
UACGAAGGGAGCUAGCGUUGUUCGGAAUCACUGGGCGUAAAGCGCACGUAGGCGGAUGUGUAAGUCAGGGGUGAAAUCCCGGAGCUCAACUUCGGAACUGCCUUUGAUACAGCACAUCUGGAGUCCGGAAGAGGUGGGUGGAAUUCCUAGUGUAGAGGUGAAAUUCGUAGAUAUUAGGAAGAACACCGGUGGCGAAGGCGGCCCACUGGUCCGGUACUGACGCUGAGGUGCGAAAGCGUGGGGAGCAAACAGG